rnacentral:tRNA from 1 species
GCAGUUAAAGCACUAUUGUGUAUGACAUUGAAGCUGUUAAGGUGUUUCUGCA